rnacentral:rRNA from 1 species
AGUGAACGCUGGCGGUAGGCCUAACACAUGCAAGUCGAACGGCAGCACAGUAAGAGCUUGCUCUUACGGGUGGCGAGUGGCGGACGGGUGAGGAAUACAUCGGAAUCUACUUUUUCGCGGGGGAUAACGUAGGGAAACUUACGCUAAUACCGCAUACGACCUACGGGUGAAAGCAGGGGAUCUUCGGACCUUGCGCGAUUGAAUGAGCCGAUGUCGGAUUAGCUAGUUGGCGGGGUAAAGGCCCACCAAGGCGACGAUCCGUAGCUGGCCUGAGAGGAUGAUCAGCCACACUGGAACUGAGACACGGUCCAGACUCCUACGGGAGGCAGCAGUGGGGAAUAUUGGACAAUGGGCGCAAGCCUGAUCCAGCCAUACCGCGUGGGUGAAGAAGGCCUUCGGGUUGUAAAGCCCUUUUGUUGGGAAAGAAAAGCAGCAGGUUAAUACCCCGCUGUUCUGACGGUACCCAAAGAAUAAGCACCGGCUAACUUCGUG